GAUGAAGAACGUAGCGAAAUGCGAUACUUGGUGUGAAUUGCAGAAUCCCGUGAACCAUCGAGUCUUUGAACGCAAGUUGCGCCUGAAGCCAUUAGGCCGAGGGCACGCCUGCCUGGGCGUCACACAUCGUUGCCCCCCCAUCUACUCCUUCGGGAUUGCGGGGGGCGGAUGAUGGCCUCCCGUGCGCCUCGUCGCGCGGUUGGCAUAAAUGCCAAGUCCUCGGCGACGCACGCCACGACAAUCGGUGGUUGCGAAACCUCGGUUGCCCGUCGUGUGCGGUCGUCGCGCAUCGAGGGCUCGAAAAAAUUGCCGGGCUCCGGCUCGGCUUUCAACGCGACCCCAGGUCAGGCGGGGUUACCCGCUGAAUUUAAGCAUAUCAAUAAGCGGAGGA
rnacentral:misc_RNA from 1 species